rnacentral:rRNA from 1 species
UACGUAGGGUGCGAGCGUUGUCCGGAAUUAUUGGGCGUAAAGGGCUCGUAGGCGGUUUGUCGCGUCGGGAGUGAAAUCCUACGGCUUAACUGUGGGCUUGCUUUCGAUACGGGCAGACUAGAGGUAUGCAGGGGAGAACGGAAUUCCUGGUGUAGCGGUGAAAUGCGCAGAUAUCAGGAGGAACACCGGUGGCGAAGGCGGUUCUCUGGGCAUGAUCUGACGCUGAGACGCGAAAGCGUGGGGAGCAAACAGG